GUCCACCAUCUCAGUAGGAGUCAGGAAUGGAGAGUAGGGUAUGCAGGAAGGGUGUAUGGAGGACCCUCUUGUCUAACAGGGCGGUGAUUCAUGGCUUACACAGGAGACUCACAAGGUUUUGAGAAUGUUCUAUCAGCGGGAACGUUGCCAGCUUGGACUGAAAGGGACAGAGGUUGGACUAAAUAAAGAAGGCUGUGGGACACCCAACAUUCUACAGGCAGGAAAUGGGCUCAUGGAGCUACUCAGCUGCAAACAUGUGCUAACCUCAAGAAAGAGGAAGAAUGACUCCCAGGGCAGAGCCUUGGGCCCAGAGAGCAGAGCCGCAGGCACAGAGGCAGAUGGCAGUGGGACCAUGCCUGCUAAGGCCUGUGGAGCUGUGAGACACAGAGGUUGCUCGUAAGGUCUACAGUUGGAGAAGAAUUUUGCCCCAAGAUAGCUCCUACCAAGAGUCUCACACGUCCCUGAUUUAGAUGAUAAGAUUUGGAACUUUUGAGGAGACACGCAGAGGACAGAGAGAGAAGAGGCAGGCAAUGUGACCAUGGUAGCGGAGACUGAAGAGAUGUGGCCACCAGUCAAGGAAUGCCUGAAGCCAUCAGAAGCUGGAAGAGAGAGAGGAAUGGAUAGGCCCCUAGAAGGAUUGGAGGGAGCGUGUCCCUAAUGAUACUUUGAUUUUGGACUUCUGGUCUUGAGAAUUGUGAGAGAAUAAAUUUCUGUUGUUUUAAGCCUCUGAAUUUGUGGCUGUUUGUUACAGCAGCUACAGGAAAGUAGUACAGAUUUUGGUACAUUUUGAUAAGUCAAAGCAACCAGUUACAAAAGACCAUAUAUUGUAUGAUUUCAUUUAUACGAAAUGUCCAGAACAGGCAAAUCUAUGGAGAUGGAAAAUAGAUUAGUGGUUGCAGGGGCUAGAGGUAGAAGGAAUGAGAGUGACUGCUAAUCCAUAUGGGGUUUCCUUCUGGGUGAUAAAAAUGUUCUGCAGUUAGAUAGUGG